rnacentral:rRNA from 1 species
GAUGGAGGGGGAUAACCACUGGAAACGGUGGCUAAUACCGCAUAACCUCUGUGGAGUAAAGUGGGGGACCUUCGGGCCUCACGCCAUCGGAUGAACCCAGAUGGGAUUAGCUAGUAGGUGGGGUAAUGGCUCACCUAGGCGACGAUCCCUAGCUGGUCUGAGAGGAUGACCAGCCACACUGGGACUGAGACACGGCCCAGACUCCUACGGGAGGCAGCAGUGGGGAAUAUUGCACAAUGGGCGCAAGCCUGAUGCAGCCAUGCCGCGUGUAUGAAGAAGGCCUUCGGGUUGUAAAGUACUUUCAGCGGGGAGGAAGGCAACAGCGUAAAUAGCGCUGUUGAUUGACGUUACCC